rnacentral:lncRNA from 1 species
CUUAGUUCACAUAACAUACUUAUGUCCAAUGCCAUAAAGUGUUAAGACCUAAUUUAAACAUGAUAACAUCACUUAAUACACAAGCUAAAUAAUAUGUUCAACUAUCAUGUAUUGAAAUUAAACAUAUCUCAAUCAAUAUGCUAAUUUCAUAACAAAAUUUCAAUAUAUAUAUACCCAAAUCAUAUUCUUACCACUUUCGGCUACCAAAUUUAAUCAUUAAAAUCAUACUAAUUACACCAUUCAACUUAAGUUAGAAAUUUACCGUUCGC